GUUUUUCGCACUAGUUCGAUUCGAACCGAUGCGAAUGCUAUGAAAAAAAAAUUGAAAUAUCUUCUUUCUUUCUAUUUCCUUAAAAUCUCAUCCUUUCUCACCUACCUUAACUUCUCUCUCUUCCUUAAUUCUUCUUCAUCUUCUAUGAGGGCUGCGAUUUUGAGCAGCCGCGACUUUCCCAGUCACCGUCAUCCUCACCGAAGCCGCUUCAACGUUCUCAUGACACAUUGUCACCCUCACGUUUCACCUGCUUUCCAUGGCUCCACCACUAUCGUCACUCGUCGCCGUCGUAUUCUUCUCCGCUCCUCCAAAUAUUUCCUUUAUCAAUGUCUUCUGCAUAGAUUUGGUCUAACGCUCAAGCAUUCAAAGACCACCCUUUUCUUUUGAGAUGAAGGCUAAUAUGGAGGGUUACUAUGAGGAUGAGAUCAAGAUGCAUCUGGCUGCUGUUCCCUCUUCUCGGCAUAUUGAGCCAAUUGAGGAUGUGCACUUUCAGGGCAGGCAACUAAAAGAAGCACCAGCUCCCGUUGGUUAUCAUUAGAGCAAUACAUAAGUCUGCAUACUGCCACGUAUAUGGUGCUUGUUUUGUUUCAUAAUCUAUUGGCAUGAAUUUAUAAAACUUCUACUGUUUGUGUGAUUAUUUCCUUCAUUCCUUUUCUAGUCUUUAUGGAGCUUAAACAUUGGUCCAACUUAAUAAGUAUACAACUUAAUAAGUAUACAACAGGUGAUUAUGUAACCUUGUAUGUUAUUUUAUUUUAUAUUCUUUUUUAGACGAAAAUUGUAAUAUUACAGCUUUUUUAAUGA